AACUUUCAACAACGGAUCUCUUGGUUCUCGCAUCGAUGAAGAACGCAGCGAAAUGCGAUAAGUAGUGUGAAUUGCAGAAUUCAGUGAAUCAUCGAAUCUUUGAACGCACAUUGCGCCUCCUGGUAUUCCAGGAGGCAUGCCUGUUCGAGCGUC
rnacentral:rRNA from 1 species